rnacentral:lncRNA from 1 species
CUGGAACCAAGGGGGCAAAGCAAGCAUACAAUUCAAGAUUUCAUUACUGCUGUCGCACAAGUACAAUGUACGAAGGUGCAUAGUUGAGUGCAAAUUACAUCGUGUUGUUGGACUAAAACUGGUAAAGGAAUGAACCACAAAAAUUUAAGGUGUCAUAUAGCUGAUACGAGAAGCUUAUAGCAUCAUCAACUUCGGGUUGCCAGCCUUCUGUCCGCCAGCGCCGCCGAAGCUCUGACAUAUCUGUAAAAUGCACGCAAAACUUGAAAAAUCAGAAGGGAGAGCACGCGACGACUAUUUAUUCACAUGAACUUAUGCAUCUGGAUAUUUGACCAACUAUGGAUGAUGCUUACCGGAGGAGGAAGGGGCGUGGGAGCAGAGGAAGAGGAGGAGGAAGCAGAGGAAGAGGAGGAGGAAGCAGAGGAAGGUGAGCAGCGGGAUGAGGUGGAUGGACCUGCGACGGCGUGGAACUGGACACCAACCUUCCUCUGCUCAUCCAGUCCCACGGCAACAUGGGGCGGUGACGGGCGUCAACGACAUCCAGGGGGAGGAAGACGUCGCGGCUCACGCCGUGGACGAUGCCCACGACGAAGCCCGUGUCAUCACCGUGGGGUCGACAAGGCGGGCAAGGACGGACAAGUGGGAGACGGAGGGCGUCCUGUCGAAGUCGACGACCGUGUGCGCGCGCCGCGACGGCGGCCCUGACGCGUCGAGCGUCGCGUGGCUGCUCGCCAUAGCCUAGGGAGUCACUAUACCGGACCAGUAAAAAAACCACCCAUCGAGUCAUGCAACAAUAAGCAAUCCAGCGAUGUAACAAUACACCAGGGAGGACGCGGCAUGCGUGAACGAGCUCUCAGGGUUCCGCUCUUGGAGAGUGUAAUGUUCACCUUUGUUUCUAAAACCAUGUUGUAUGCAUGUGUGUUUGAGCUGCCCUUAACAAACAACGAGGAGGAUAUACUAAGGCUAGCCAUAGUGAGGAGUAUCAUACAAUAAUAUCAUGAUACUAUUGUAUGAUACUACCUUCAUAAUGCAUAGUAUAUUAUAAAAAAAAAUAUUAUAAAUGAACUCAUUUAUUGACAUGCAUGACACGUAGUGGCAUGUAUUUAAAAUGUUACGGUAUCUACCUAUGUUACUCUAACCCUUUUUUUUUAAUUGUCAUGAACCUAUGCCUAUGCACUAGACAAGAGGUCCAUUGUGCAACAACAUGACAGGUGCCGUCCAUGAUGCUCUGGGUGGCUGUGCGCCACGACGCCUGAGGCUGCACAACAACGCUCUGGUCGCCCGCAUGAAUACCGGCCAUGGACCGAUAUCGCCUCUGCACGCCGCUGCAGGUCCGUGUUGAACGAGCUAGGGUUCUUGUUCCUCCUUCGCUUCCUCCUGAUUCGACUACACGGGCAUUGGACCGGCGCCGUGCCAUUGUUAACCUCGGCGCUUCCGCCACUUACCAGAGGUUGGCGUGGGGGAAGAGAGUGGCUCCGAUACAAUUGAUUGAGGAGGAUGUGUGUAUAUAAGGGGACCGAAGUUAUUGUUGACCUCAGUUUCAUUGAAGGACGCACUGUGCGGACCGAUGUCGCGGCCGGUCAGUUUAGGAAAGUGCGCAUGUGCAGGCGGACCCCCUUGCAAAAAAAAUACUCCUUCAGUCAUAAUUUAUAAAGCAUGUACUAGGUCGUCAAUUUAACCAACUUAAUAAGAGACAUAUAUUACAAAAAAUAUAUCAUUAGAAACUUUAGAUGUUCUAUAAUAAUCUAAUUUUUAUGUUAAACAAUAUAUUUUAUAUAAGUUAAAUUGACGACCUAGAUACACGUACAUGCCUUAUAAACUGUGACGGUGGCAACGUCCAUCCAAAAGAAACGAGAAGGGAAAAAGAGGCAGCGACCCCUACUCAUGUGGUCACCCCCCAACGCAAAUACACGCGACAGCUACUACCAGAUAGUGGGGACCUUCCCUCCGGCAAAAAAAGCACAGCAAAAAAAUGGUGGAAAUCAAGCCAAAAAUUCUAAAGAAUGCGAUUUUGUCUGCAACUCUUUGUUCCUGAUCAGGCAAUACUCUGAAGAAACUUGGGCAAAAUAUUGCCAGAACUGGGCAAAUUUCUCCCCAUGAAAACAACAAAGGUAAAAGGGCCCUUACAAUUUUCUUGAAUAUUCUUUUAGUUCUAGAGCUAGUGGAACUCCCUCUCUGUACCUCCCCAUGCAAUAUACUACAAAAUUGCUUCCUGUACCAAGUGUUGCAAAACCUGAAUUGAAUCUUACCCCCAAUCUGCCAGUUGUUCUUGCCUCCCCCUCCCCGUGUAGAACUGGAAGCUAGAUAUCUUGCAUGUUGUCUUCCACCUUGCUUCUGCAACAAAAAGAAAAGGAAGCAUAGUUAUUUGGUUGUGUAGCACUGUCUAUAUUCUGGGUAUAAUAAAUCUGGACAAAUGACUAGUGUAGUUGCUUACAAAACUAGUUUAUUCAGUGGGGGGGUGAAGCAAAGACUGGUUACUUACAAAACUAAAAGGAGAUGAACCUAAUUGUAUAAAAUAGAGAUGAAGCAAAAUCUAACUGCUGACAAUGUCUAUCUAGUUGAUUACAAAAACAAAAAGCAAGAAAAGUCUGAACCUAGUAGUGAAAAAAUAUGCCGGCAUCCUAUAAAAGUCUGCCAUUACACUGAGUUUGGUGUGUUGGGAACAUAGUGGUGAUUGCAAAAAAAAUGCCCAUGCUCAUUGAGUUCGCUAACAUGAUAGAAGAAGAAAAUUCUAAUGUUUAAUUUACAUUAUGUCGCUUACGUAUUAAUUACAUCCCUAAUUUUUUUUCUAAUAUGUGCAGAUGGCUGGCCUUGAUCUCAAUAAGUUCCCUGAUGACUGUGUUGAUUGUGAUGGUGGCAUUAUACUGCACGCAAGCUGAAUUUGAAAGGGUCCCUAUUUCUAUUGAGGGGUGAGCGAGUCACCAGAACUGGGAACUGUUGUUGUCCAAGAUGUCCUAGGUGUGAAUUUUCGUGUUGCGUUAGCUUCUGCUACUGGUGUGUAUGAUGCUACGACAACUAAAACUACCAUGCCCGUCCCUGCUGCAUUGAGCCCGACUGCAACUCUGCCUAGCCAUGGUGAGCAAGGUCAUGUCGGUGCCGCUGACUUGUUUAGUUUUGAUGAGAAUGAGGUGCAAUCUAGCCACAUGAGCCGUAUGUGGACAUGGAGUUUGACACGCCUGUGGGUGCUAAGACGCAUUACAAUGCCUGCACUCUCUGUUGUGGGUUUGGGAUAAAAGCCAACAUGUCCAGGAGGUCUCCAUAUAGUUAUAUGGUUGAAAAACUGACUUUUGCGUGCAACAAGUCGGGGAAGCCUGAAUACAAUGAUUAUGUCUACACUCCUAUGCUUCACAAACUAUGUUCCGAUUCUGAGGAUUGUGGCGACGGGUAAGAUCUCGGCCUAGGCGAUUUGGAAGAGUGUAUUGUUUUAGGCGACUAGGUCGAUGGAUUCGGCGAUCUAGCGCACCGGGGAUGGGGAAGUUUGUUAGUCAGCUUAGGCAAUUUGGAAGAGUGUGUUAUUUUAGGCAACUUGGACGAUGGGCUAGGCGACCUAGCACACCGAGGAUGGGCGAGUUUGUUGGUCGGCUUAGGCAAUUUGGAAGGGUAUGGUGUUUUAGGAAAAUAGGUCGAUGGGUUAGGCGAGCUAGAACGCCAGAGAUGGCCGAGUUGGUUAGCCGACUUAGCCAAUUUUGGAAGGGUUUGUUGUUUUCGGCAACAUGGAUGAUGGGUUAGGCAACCUAGCACACGGGGGAUGGGCGAGUUUGUUGGUCGGCUUAGGCAAUUUGGAAGGGUAUGGUGUUUUAGGAAAAUAGGUCGAUGGGUUAGGCGAGCUAGUACACCAGGGAUGGCCGAGUUGGUUGGCCGACUUAGCCAAUUUUGGAAGGGUUUGUUGUAUUAGGCAACAUGGAUGAUGGGUUAGGCGGCCUAGCACACGGGGGACGGGCGAGUUUGUUGGUCGGCUUAGGCAAAUUGGAAGGGUGUGUUGUUUUGGGUGAGGCAAUGUGUUAGGCGACCUAGCACGUCGGGGAUGGACGAGUUGGUUGGUCAGCUUAGGUGAAUUGGAAGGGUGUGUUGUUUUAGGCGACUUGGGCAAUGUGUUAGACGACCUAGCAUACCGGGGAUGGACGAGUUGGUUGGUCGGCAUAGGCGAUUGGAAGGGUACGAUGUUUUAGGCGACUAGGUCGAUGGGUUAGGCAAGCUAGUACGCGAGGGAUGAGCGAGUUUGUUGGUCGUCUUAGGUUAUUUUGAAAGGGUUUGUUGUUUUAGGUGACAUGGAUAUGGGUUAGGUGACCUAGCACAUGGGGGAUGGGCCAAUUUAUUUGGUCGGCUUAGACGAAUUGGAAGGGUGUGUUGUUUUAGGCGACUUGGGAAAUGGGUUAGGUGACCUAGCACACCGGGGAUGGACGAGUUGAUUGGUCGGCUUAGGUGAAUUGAAAGGGUGUGUUGUUUUAGGCGACUUGGCCAAUGUAUUAGACGACCUAGCAUACCAGGGAUGGACGAGUUGUUUGGUCGGCUUAGGCGAUUGGAAGGGUACGAUGUUUUAGGCGACCAGGUCAAUGGGUUAGGCGAGCUAGUAUGCCAGGGAUGAGCGAGUUUGUUGGUCGUCUUAGGCGAUUUUGAAAGGGUUUGUUGUUUUAGGUGACAUGGAGAUGGGUUAGGUGACCUAGCACACGGUGGAUGGGGAGUUUGUUUGGUCGGAUUAGCCGAAUUGGAAGGGUGUGUUGUUUUAGGUGACUUGGGCAAUGGGUUCGGUGACCUAGCACACCGGGGAUGGAUUAGUUGGUUGGUCGGCUUAGGCGAUUGGAAGGGUAUGAUGUUUUAGGCAACUAGGUCGAUGGGUUAGCCGAGCUAGUACGUCAGGGAUGGGGGAGUUGGUUAGUCGGCUUAGGCUAUUUGGAAGGGUGUGUUGUUUUAGGCGACAUGGUUUAGGCGUGUAUUAGGUAUCUCCGUCUGUGGAUUAGGCGUGUGAGCGACUUAGUGAUUGGAUUUGAUCGAGUUGGGCGUGGGAUGCAAUGACUAUAUAGUGGAGUGGUAAGUGACUCCACUCGUUUGGUGGUCGUGGGCGACUUAGUUCGGUCGGCUCGGUUUGUGGAUGAGCAGGGCGACUAUGAGUUGGGAUUGAGACCACUCCGUUCUGGAUUAGGUGUAUGGGCGACUUAGUGUAUUGGAUUUGGUGAUGCGAUGACUAUGAAAUGUGAUGGUAGGCGACUUGUGAGUUCGGUGGUCGUGGGUGUUUUAGUUUAACGCGGUCGGCUGUGUAUGUGUGAAAGGGCGAGCGAAUAUGAAUUAAGGUUUAGGUGACUCCAUAUGUGUAUUAGUUGUUUGAGUAACUUAGUGUAUGGAUUUGGUCGAGUUGGGCAUGGGUGCGGCGACUAUAUAAUGGGGUAGUAGGCGACUCCAUUCGUGUCAUACAUUAAAGUUUCCCGUGUGCAUAUGCAGGUUAUAUCAAAGGUAACAUUGAAGUUUCUCAUGCCAUACAUAAACUAGCAAACUGGAACCAGAACAAAAAAUUUCCUCACGUGAACCAACAUUCAGUUUCUUUAUCUAAUGAUUUUGUGUAUAACUGCCUAACUGACGCGAGUUAAAAUGCAAGAGAAAAUGGUAAACUUGGCUAUCCCCGUAUGACGAAUAAAAUUGCCUAUCACAAUUCCAGUUGUAACGGGCUAGCUUCUUGCCGCCCGAUUCCAUUAAGCUGAGUCAAAAAGUUGUCUUACGUAUGUUUAGAUGUUUUGCAGAACAAAGAAGUUCAUAUAUAGAUUUUCAGUCUUACUGCCUAUGAAAACAAAGAAUAAAUUGUCGGUUUAGGCAACUUAACUAGUAGGUUAGGCGAUUUAAGACUCCCUCCGGUGUUUGGAUGAUGCAAAGCUGCUAAAAUGUUCAGUAUUGCCAUUAUAGUCAUACCGAACUUAUCUACAGUUGCCUAUCUACCAGCAGUGUUGCACUGCCUAUUGUAGUCGUGCUAAAACCUACCAAAAACUGCCUACAGCAAAAUUAGAAACAGCUAGAUUCGAGCAGCAUCAAGCCAUUCAAACACUGGCAUGUGAUAAAAAUUCAAAAUUCGAACAAAAUUUCCGCUAACUUCUAACUACUAGUAUAACAUCCAAAGGCGCUAACUGCUAUGUCCAGUGUUCUAUUGCCGAUUAUAAUCUUAUACUGAAGCUAUCUAAAUUGCCUACAAAAAUAUUCAAUGUUGCCUAUUGUAAUCGUACAUCAAGCCAUUAAAGGGAGAACCAUACCUUACACCCACGCCUGUCGUUCAUGAGAUUCUCAGUGAAAAAUUGAUGUGUGUCAUAUGGGAUUUCCCCCCUCCCCCGUCGAGGGGUCGCGCCUAUGAUAUCUAAACUGUAGAUUUCCCCCUCCCGAGUAAGGCGACCCAACCUCCCCUCCAUGGAUGGCUACAAAGCUUGAAAAAAGGGAAGAAAAAUCCCCUGCCCUCAUUCCGCUUGACUAAUUAGAGAAGGUAGAGUGCAGGAACUAACCUUCUCUCGCGGAUGUAGCAGUGCGCUCCGCCGUCGUUCGUCGCCUCGCGUCAAUGGCGGCACAGGCCUCUUCCUCCCUCUUUUCUCAUCAUGCGCGAACCGCUCGAAUCAGCUGCUGAUGUCCCCUCAGCGUGGUGGUUGAUAUGCCCGUACGAGCCUCUGUCCCAAUAGCCGCAGUCGUCAGAUCUUCUGGCCGGCGAACCCUUCUCUUCCUGUAGCAGUGCGGAUAGAAUGGAGGGGCAAGUGGAGACCGUCUCCCUGGCCGGGUCCACCUAACACGUUUCGUUCAUCUCGGCCGGGGCGAUGAACGGCUGGCGUGCGGCCGCUCGUGAGCAGUCUAUCGCGCGUACGCACCGUCCAGCGUUUGGG